UUUAGGGAGACCUACACCCCUCAAAUAUUGAAAGCAAACAGCAAAUAAAUAUUGAGAUGGUCAAACCUAGGUCGGUCGAGGUUGGUAAAUAGCUUUCAAAGUAUUAGUGGUUCAGUAAAUAUCAACAUCAGUUAAAAACUAAGAAAAAUUCAGCAACAUGGCCAUAGCCAGACUGCUGGGUAAGAAUCCAGCCAGAACCUUGAAAACUGCAUAGGAAUGCGAAAAAAGCAGGCAGACAUAGACAUUAGUGAGUGCCAAGUCUUGGUGCUGAUUAGAAUCAGUGUUACUUAGACGAAGCAGUCAAAAAAAGAAAGUGUUUGCAAUUGAAGGCAAUUGUUUGAGU
rnacentral:misc_RNA from 1 species